AUAUUCAUCUGCUUCUCUACCUCGUUCUGUAGCUCCUUUAGCUUCUCAGCUUCUUCCUCCAUCUCCCUGACUCGAGCUUUGAUAGCUUCCGGUCCUCAAUGGCGCCGUCCCCCGGGUCACCCUCGACCAGUCCCGGCUCCUCCUCCUCCUCUUGGCUGCCGGGGGCUCCCGAACCAGGCCCAGGGCCCGGAGCUCCCGGGGGGGCGCGGGGCCGGGGCGGCUCCUCUUCGGGCUCGGGCUCCGGCUCGGGCUCCAGCAGCAGCUCCUCAGGCUCCAGUU
rnacentral:lncRNA from 10 species